rnacentral:rRNA from 1 species
UACGUAGGGUGCAAGCGUUAAUCGGAAUUACUGGGCGUAAAGCGUGCGCAGGCGGUUUUGUAAGUUUGUCGUGAAAGCCCCGGGCUCAACCUGGGAAUUGCGAUGAAGACUGCAAGGCUUGAAUCUGGCAGAGGGGGGUAGAAUUCCACGUGUAGCAGUGAAAUGCGUAGAGAUGUGGAGGAACACCGAUGGCGGAGGCAGCCCCCUGGGUCAAGAUUGACGCUCAUGCACGAAAGCGUGGGGAGCAAACAGG